rnacentral:rRNA from 1 species
AUGAGUGAUAAAAAGGUUUUACAGCAGUUCUUAGGAAUUGUAAACUAUGCGCGAAACUAUAUAGACAACUUAGCAAAGUUAGCAGGACCUUUAUAUGCUAAAUUAAGGAAAAAUGGUCAAAAAUACUUCAAUUCUGAAGAUAUGAAACUAGUAAAGGCCAUCAAGGAAAAGGUCAAGAAUUUGAAACCCCUAGAAUUGCCUCUAGAAGACGAUUAUUUUAUAAUUGAGACAGAUGCAUCUAAGGUAGGAUGGGGUGCGAUACUAAAACAAAAACUCAAUAAAUACUCGCCAAAAGCAGAUGAAAAAAUAUGCAGAUAUGCUUCGGGAAGUUACAAAUUAAAGACGGUAAAUAAUAUUGAUAGGGAAAUCCUUGCAGUUGUAAAUGCAAUAAAUGCAUUUAGGCUAUAUCUAGGAUUUAAAGAAUUUACAGUGCGAACAAACUGUGAAGCUAUAUGUCGAUAUUACAAUAAAAUUAAUAAAAUGGGGAAAGGAUUAUUCGCCAACAAGGAUGAAUAUCUCUUCUUUGGAGAAGAAAAUAGGCUGAAAAUGUUUCAGCCAAAUACAUUCAAUUUCAAGCCAAAAUCCCAUAUUAAGCUUGAUGAAGCUCAAAGAUGCAUAUUGGAUAACUUUUGGUUCCAAUAUACUCUCAAGAGAGAGGAAAGAGGAUAUUUUUUAUCAAUUCUCAAUAGUUUGGCAGAAUAUUUUAAUGAAUUAAACAAAAAUUUGCCAAAGCUAGAAAAGAUUGAAAUACCAAAAGGAGAAACACUAUAUCUUAUAUUUGAUGGAAAUAAACCUGGCAUAUAUUUAGAAUGGGAAAAUAUAAUGAUUGAAAAAUUAGAUGCAAAAAGAAAAGGACAAGAUUUAACAUUCAAAAGAUAUUAG